GCUUCCAUAGCUCAGUUGGUUAGAGCGUCGUACUAAUACUUCAUUCCGAGUGUUCGGUAAAUGCGAAGGUCUCAGGUUCAAGCCCUGGUGGGAGCA
rnacentral:tRNA from 1 species